rnacentral:misc_RNA from 1 species
AAGUCGUAACAAGGUUUCCGUAGGUGAACCUGCGGAAGGAUCAUUAACACGUAUCCAACGUUAAACCCCCGUGAACAUUGAAGACCAUACCAGGGAAGCCUGGUUUUGACGAGGUUGAUCCUCAGUCGGUAGAUAAAUGCCAGCAAUCCCCGCACUCGGUCGUAGAAAAAAUGAUGGGGGACUUUUGGCAGACCGCUGGGUCUGGAAUCGCUGCAAGCGUAGCUUGUUGUCCCCGCGCCGUCGCACGCAGGGGUUCGUCUCUAACAACCACUGUCAACACUGUACAGUGGCAACAGCUACAAGCCGAUGCAAUGGCUCCAAAGCACCACUUACCUUAUUUCGAACCCUCCGCGCUUAACCACGCAGGAGAAAAAAAACUAACAACAACUGUUAACAAUGGAUAUCUUGGUUCUC